rnacentral:rRNA from 1 species
GCGUAAAGGGCGCCUAGCCGGUUUGUUAAGUCGAAGGUGAAUCCUCGGGCUCAACUCGAGAAUUGCCUUCGAUACUGGCAAACUAGAGUGCCGGAGAGGAAAGCGGAACUCUUGGUGUAACGGUGGAAUGUGUAGAUAUCAAGAGGAACACCGGUGGCGAAGGCGGCUUUCUGGACGCACACUGACGCUCAGGCGCGAAAGCGUGGGUAGCAAACAGGAUUAGAUACCCUGGUAGUCCACGCCAUAAACGAUGGGUACUAGGUGUCGGGGGUAUCGACCCCUCCGGUGCCGCAGUUAACGCACUAAGUACCCCGCCUGGGGAUUAUGGUCGCAAGGCUGAAACUCAAAGGAAUUGACGGGGCCCCGCACAAGCGGUGGAGCAUGUGGUUUAAUUCGACGCAACGCGAAGAACCUUACCUGGGCUUGACAUGCUUGGGACAGCGCUGGAAACAGCGUCUCUCCUUCGGGAGCCCUUGCACAGGUGCUGCAUGGCUGUCGUCAGCUCGUGUCGUGAGAUGUUGGGUUAAGUCCCGCAACGAGCGCAACCCUCGUUACUAGUUGCCAUCAGUUCGGCUGGGCACUCUAGUGAGACUGCCGGUGAUAAACCGGAGGAAGGUGAGGAUGAUGUCAAGUCAUCAUGGCCCUUACGCCCAGGGCUACACACGUGCUACAAUGGUCGGCACAAAGGGUCGCUAAGCCGCGAGGUGGAGCUAAUCCCAAAAAGCCGGCCUCAGUUCGGAUUGGAGUCUGCAACCCGACUCCAUGAAGGCGGAAUCGCUAGUAAUCGCGGAUCAGCAUGCCGCGGUGAAUAUGUUCCCGGGGCUUGUACACACCGCCCGUCAUAUCACCCGAGUCGGGGAUACCCGAAGUCCGUGACCCAACCAUUUGGAGGGAGCGGCCGAAGGUGUGCCUGUAAGGGG